rnacentral:lncRNA from 1 species
GCUGGCAAGAAAAAAGUACAUUGGGGAGUUCAGAGUCUUACUGAAACUUACAGUCACAACAAUGAGCAUGUUGCCCACCACAGUCAAAAUGUAAAAGAGCAAGAACAUAACAAAAAGGACUUUCUGCUCCUUUGGAUUCUGUGUGAGUCCCAAGAGGACAAAUUUGUAUGCUGGUUGCCUUCUCGCUUGGCUUCAGAUUCACAGCAAAAUGACCCUUUGGCCACGCACAAAGAACCUGUCAGGAGAAAAUCAGACCCACAAUUGGCUCAGCCCCAAGAACAUGGAGGCCCUGGACAAAUGUAUAUUAGAAAACCGGGAGACAGAGGUUCAGUAAUAGCCAAGGAGGUUGGAAAUCAUUCCAGUCCUCAAGAGCCUCUUAAAUGACAGUCAGCUUUCAAAACAUUCUUCACAACAGGAGGAUGCAGAGUACCAUUUCUUCUAAAUCUCACAAAAAGUUUAGAUUGAUGGAUAUUUCUGUUGUACUUUUGAAGACUCCAGUAAUAAAGAAUGUUCAUAAUAACUGACA